UUAAGCGACUAAGCGUACACGGUGGAUGCCCUGGCAGUCAGAGGCGAUGAAGGACGUGCUAAUCUGCGAUAAGCGUCGGUAAGGUGAUAUGAACCGUUAUAACCGGCGAUGUCCGAAUGGGGAAACCCAGUGUGUUUCGACACACUAUCAUUAACUGAAUCCAUAGGUUAAUGAGGCGAACCGGGGGAACUGAAACAUCUAAGUACCCCGAGGAAAAGAAAUCAACCGAGAUUCCCCCAGUAGCGGCGAGCGAACGGGGAGCAGCCCAGAGCCUGAAUCAGUGUGUGUGUUAGUGGAAGCGUCUGGAAAGGCGCGCGAUACAGGGUGACAGCCCCGUACACAAAAAUGCACAUACUGUGAGCUCGAUGAGUAGGGCGGGACACGUGGUAUCCUGUCUGAAUAUGGGGGGACCAUCCUCCAAGGCUAAAUACUCCUGACUGACCGAUAGUGAACCAGUACCGUGAGGGAAAGGCGAAAAGAACCCCGGCGAGGGGAGUGAAAAAGAACCUGAAACCGUGUACGUACAAGCAGUGGGAGCCCUGAUUUAUCAGGGUGACUGCGUACCUUUUGUAUAAUGGGUCAGCGACUUAUAUUCUGUAGCAAGGUUAACCGAAUAGGGGAGCCGGAGGGAAACCGAGUCUUAACUGGGCGUUAAGUUGCAGGGUAUAGACCCGAAACCCGGUGAUCUAGCCAUGGGCAGGUUGAAGGUUGGGUAACACUAACUGGAGGACCGAACCGACUAAUGUUGAAAAAUUAGCGGAUGACUUGUGGCUGGGGGUGAAAGGCCAAUCAAACCGGGAGAUAGCUGGUUCUCCCCGAAAGCUAUUUAGGUAGCGCCUCGUGAAUUCAUCUCCGGGGGUAGAGCACUGUUUCGGCAAGGGGGUCAUCCCGACUUACCAACCCGAUGCAAACUGCGAAUACCGGAGAAUGUUAUCACGGGAGACACACGGCGGGUGCUAACGUCCGUCGUGAAGAGGGAAACAACCCAGACCGCCAGCUAAGGUCCCAAAGUCAUGGUUAAGUGGGAAACGAUGUGGGAAGGCCCAGACAGCCAGGAUGUUGGCUUAGAAGCAGCCAUCAUUUAAAGAAAGCGUAAUAGCUCACUGGUCGAGUCGGCCUGCGCGGAAGAUGUAACGGGGCUAAACCAUGCACCGAAGCUGCGGCAGCGACACUAUGUGUUGUUGGGUAGGGGAGCGUUCUGUAAGCCUGUGAAGGUGUACUGUGAGGUAUGCUGGAGGUAUCAGAAGUGCGAAUGCUGACAUAAGUAACGAUAAAGCGGGUGAAAAGCCCGCUCGCCGGAAGACCAAGGGUUCCUGUCCAACGUUAAUCGGGGCAGGGUGAGUCGACCCCUAAGGCGAGGCCGAAAGGCGUAGUCGAUGGGAAACAGGUUAAUAUUCCUGUACUUGGUGUUACUGCGAAGGGGGGACGGAGAAGGCUAUGUUGGCCGGGCGACGGUUGUCCCGGUUUAAGCGUGUAGGCUGGUUUUCCAGGCAAAUCCGGAAAAUCAAGGCUGAGGCGUGAUGACGAGGCACUACGGUGCUGAAGCAACAAAUGCCCUGCUUCCAGGAAAAGCCUCUAAGCAUCAGGUAACAUCAAAUCGUACCCCAAACCGACACAGGUGGUCAGGUAGAGAAUACCAAGGCGCUUGAGAGAACUCGGGUGAAGGAACUAGGCAAAAUGGUGCCGUAACUUCGGGAGAAGGCACGCUGAUAUGUAGGUGAAGUCCCUCGCGGAUGGAGCUGAAAUCAGUCGAAGAUACCAGCUGGCUGCAACUGUUUAUUAAAAACACAGCACUGUGCAAACACGAAAGUGGACGUAUACGGUGUGACGCCUGCCCGGUGCCGGAAGGUUAAUUGAUGGGGUCAGCGCAAGCGAAGCUCUUGAUCGAAGCCCCGGUAAACGGCGGCCGUAACUAUAACGGUCCUAAGGUAGCGAAAUUCCUUGUCGGGUAAGUUCCGACCUGCACGAAUGGCGUAAUGAUGGCCAGGCUGUCUCCACCCGAGACUCAGUGAAAUUGAACUCGCUGUGAAGAUGCAGUGUACCCGCGGCAAGACGGAAAGACCCCGUGAACCUUUACUAUAGCUUGACACUGAACACUGGUCCUUGAUGUGUAGGAUAGGUGGGAGGCUUUGAAGUGUGGACGCCAGUCUGCAUGGAGCCGUCCUUGAAAUACCACCCUUUAAUGGCUGGUGUUCUAACGUUGGCCCCUUACCGGGGUUGCGGACAGUGUCUGGUGGGUAGUUUGACUGGGGCGGUCUCCUCCUAAAGAGUAACGGAGGAGCACGAAGGUUGGCUAAUCCUGGUCGGACAUCAGGAGGUUAGUGCAAUGGCAUAAGCCAGCUUGACUGCGAGCGUGACGGCGCGAGCAGGUGCGAAAGCAGGUCAUAGUGAUCCGGUGGUUCUGAAUGGAAGGGCCAUCGCUCAACGGAUAAAAGGUACUCCGGGGAUAACAGGCUGAUACCGCCCAAGAGUUCAUAUCGACGGCGGUGUUUGGCACCUCGAUGUCGGCUCAUCACAUCCUGGGGCUGAAGUAGGUCCCAAGGGUAUGGCUGUUCGCCAUUUAAAGUGGUACGCGAGCUGGGUUUAGAACGUCGUGAGACAGUUCGGUCCCUAUCUGCCGUGGGCGCUGGAGAACUGAGGGGGGCUGCUCCUAGUACGAGAGGACCGGAGUGGACGCAUCACUGGUGUUCGGGUUGUCAUGCCAAUGGCACUGCCCGGUAGCUAAAUGCGGAAGAGAUAAGUGCUGAAAGCAUCUAAGCACGAAACUUGCCCCGAGAUGAGUUCUCCCUGACUCCUUGAGAGUCCUGAAGGAACGUUGAAGACGACGACGUUGAUAGGCCGGGUGUGUAAGCGCAGCGAUGCGUUGAGCUAACCGGUACUAAUGAACCGUGAGGCUUAACCUU
rnacentral:rRNA from 1 species